GACGAACGCUGGCGGCGUGCUUAACACAUGCAAGUCGAACGGAAAGUCCCUGCUUUUGUGGGUUGCUCGAGUGGCGAACGGGUGAGUAACACGUGAGUAACCUGCCCUUGACCUUGGGAUAACUUCAGGAAACUGGGGCUAAUACCGGAUAGGAGCUCCUGCUGCAUUGUGGGGGGUGGAAAUUUUCGGCGGUUGGGGAUGGACUCGCGGCUUAUCAGCUUGUUGGUGGGGUAGUGGCUUACCAAGGCUUUGACGGGUAGCCGGCCUGAGAGGGUGACCGGCCACAUUGGGACUGAGAUACGGCCCAGACUCCUACGGGAGGUAGCAGUGGGGAAUACUGCACAAUGGGCGGAAGCCUGAUGCAGCAACGCCGCGUGCGGGAUGACGGCCUUCGGGUUGUAAACCGCUUUCGCCUGUGACGAAGCGUGAGUGACGGUAAUGGGUAAAGAAGCACCGGCUAACUACGUG
rnacentral:rRNA from 1 species